rnacentral:rRNA from 1 species
AUUGAACGCUGGCGGAAUGCUUAACACAUGCAAGUCGAGCGGCAGCGCGGCCUUCGGGCUGGCGGCGAGCGGCGAACGGGUGAGUAAUGCAUCGGAACAUGCCCAGUCGUGGGGUAUAACACCUCGAAAGAAGUGCUAAUAACGCAUACGUCCUGAGGGGGAAAGCGGGGGAUCGCAAGACAUUGUGCGAUGGGAGUGGUCGAUGUGAGACUAGCUAGUUGGUGGGGUAAAGGCCUACCAAGGCGAGGAUCUGUAGCUGGUCUGAGAGGAUGAUCAGCCACACUGGGACUUGGACGCGGCCCAGACUCCUACGGUAGGCAGCAGUGGGGAAUUUUGGACAAUAGUGGCAACCCUGAUCCAGCCAUUCCGCGUGAGUGAAGAAGGCCUUCGGGUUGGAAAGCUCUUUCGGCAGGAGCGAAACGGUUGGCUCUAACAUAGUCCGCUAAUGACGGUACCUGAAGAAGAAGCACCGGCUAACUACGUG